UGAAGCCUUCGGUUGAUAAUCCGUGGGAGGAUUGCGUGGAUAGGUAUCCUGUUGAGUCGGUGUUUGAACUUUCUGAAGCAGCAGCUAAAGGGUCUUGAUCAUCCUUGGAAGAAAUGAGUAAUCCAUGGUGUUAACAGGUAUAACUGUGUGUUAUUUAUCAUUGUACUUGAGUUAGCUAAUGAACGAUGGUCAUAAAAAUUGAAGGGUUAUCCUCUGCUUUUUUGUGUUUUAUAAUUGAUGUGGGAUCAUAUUGUAGUUUGAGGAUAGUGAGAACAUGGAAUUAUUGAUUGUAUGGCAGUUAGAGAGAGAUGGUUGUAGUCUGAAGAAAUGGUGGUGAGAUUCUGGAGUUGGUCCCCCUAACAGCUGUAGUGCAUCACCAAAGUUGUGAUUUCCCUUUCCUUAUAUCUGAAGAUGAUGCCUUUGCUAUUAUUCUCUAUAGACUAUAAUCGUUAAGGGACCAAAUUCUUUUCGAACAUUUCGUAGCGUUGGCAGGGCCAAGCCGAAACUGGGUCGCUGAUCAUCAAGGCCAGUUCUUGACAGUCGGAUAGGAUGUAAAAUCGGUAGAAAAUCCAAGAGCCUACUUUGGAGGCUUCCAGAAUUGUAAGGGCGAGGAGCUGUAGAAGGUCCUCCCCAUCCUCCGGUCUGUUACUUGUCACGGGUAUUUGAAAUGACAUUAACAGGCCGUAUUUAGAAAGGACC
rnacentral:lncRNA from 1 species